GACUCAAUGUUCUCUCACAGCUGCCCCAUGGCUCUUCUUCCCCAGGCGCCGCCACCUGUUGCUGUUGCCCUUCCUGGACUGGACGUGCUCAGCAGGACAGAGGAGAAUCCCCCACAUGUGAGAUGUGUGGCCCUGGAUCUACAUGUCUAGGGACAAGGCUC